ACACCGUUGGUGAAGUGGUUAUCAUGCUUGCCUUCCACUAGAGAAAGAGUCGGGUAGAUUAAGCAAGCGGCUCGGGUUCGAUUCCCGAACGGUGUA